rnacentral:rRNA from 1 species
GGCAAAAUGAGAGCCCAACUGUCUCUUAUAACAAAUCAAUUAAACUGAUCUCCUAGUACAAAAGCUAGGAUUCACUCAUAAGACCAGAAGACCCUGUGAAGCUUCAAUUAACCUAUUAAACCCCUUAAUAACUAGUUUAGGUUGGGGCGACCUUGGAAUUAAAAAGAACUUCCAAAGAAUGACUACUCAUAUAAAAGGCAAACAAGCCACAAUUAGACCCAGUAUAUCUGAUAAAUGAACCAAGUUACUCCAGGGAUAACAGCGCUAUCUUCUUCAAGAGCCCAUAUCAAAAAGAAGGUUUACGACCUCGAUGUUGGAUCAGGACAUCCUAGUAAUGCAGCCGUUUCUAAGGGUUCGUUUGUUCAACGAUUAACAGUCCUACGUGA